GCCUCACCUGCCUCCUGGACUGUCAGCACUUGUCCUGCCUCUGUUGCUACCACGAAGGAGCACUUCAUGCAGACAGACCACAUUCCUCGGCCCACCUGCCGGUCCGUGAGCUCUGUGACUGCCUCUGGCCAUGCUCUGUGAGCUGAGACAAUGUGUCAUGUCCGCAUCUCUCUUCCCCACUGUACGUGCCAAGGAGGCUGCAUUUUCCAGAAGGUGCAGCUAUGGAGGGUGUAGCUCCUGUUACCCUGGAUCUCAGAGGACCACGUGGAAGAUGGUCAGCCCAACGGAGUCGCUCAAAUUCAUCGACUUUGUGAGGCCCUUCACUCCGUAAAGCUUCUGUGACGCAUGGAGAAAACCUGUCCAGCUUUCAUUCUAGUGUGACAGUGAGAGACAGAUGAAAGCAGAGUUGCCAUGAAUUAGGUGACCAAUGGGCCAGCAGGCCAGCUCCAGUACGCAGAUAAGCACAACACCCAAACGGACAGUUGAGUCACAAGGAAGAAGGAACCCUGGUCUGAAUGAAUGUGUAGCACAGCUGCUACCAGGCUGCACUAGGCAGGCUGCUCUGUGUAAGCCACUCUUCUGGGACUCUUUGUUGUAGCAGCUUCACCUUUAUCCAAACUAAUAUACUGAAUAAAAAGAGGCUACAAGCAAAUAUUUCAAUUUACUCCACACAUGCUUUGCAAGAACUGAACCUUUCUUGUUUACUGGCUUGG